ACAGAGGGUGCGAGCGUUAAUCGGAAUUACUGGGCGUAAAGCGUGCGUAGACGGUUAUUUAAGUCGGAUGUGAAAGCCCCGGGCUCAACCUGGGAAUUGCAUUCGAGACUGAAUAGCUAGGGUACGGUAGAGGGAAGUGGAAUUUCCGGUGUAGCGGUGAAAUGCGUAGAUAUCGGAAGGAACAUCAGUGGCGAAGGCGGCUUUCUGGCCCAACACUGACGCUGAGGUGCGAAAGCGUGGGGAGCAAACAGGA
rnacentral:rRNA from 1 species